GCCUAGGUAGCUCAGUCGCUAGAGCAGAAGACUUAAAAUCCUCGUGUCGACAGUUCGAUUCCGCCCCUGGGCACCA
rnacentral:tRNA from 1 species